rnacentral:sRNA from 1 species
UGACUGGUGCUUGUCCCUCCUGUGGAUCUGUGAGCUGUGAGCUUAGAAGUGAGAGCACUCCUGGGAGACCAGCUCUCUUCAGGCACGCUUUGGUCCAGAGGGCUGUGGGGCAGCCUUAGCUUUGGGCACAGAUGGAUACUGGAAGGAUCCUGUCCAGGAAGGGCCUCUGACUGUUUUCUACAGGAAAGGUUCUAAUCCCCUCGGAAGACUUCUCUUCUGUGAUUGCUUAUAUGUGCUUAAAAAAGAUUGGGUUGGAAAGGGGAGCGCUUUUUAAUGGAUGCAGGUGUUCUGCAAAUGUUAAAGACACAUUUUUAUGUGCUGAUAUCUCUGGGCUUCAAAAUGUGAGCAAAUUAUGUUUAGAAGUUUCUGGCAUUCAUACAGAAAGCUGCUUGAUCUUCCGUGCUUUGAGGAGCUGAUUCAAACUGAAACCUCUUCCAACACGAUUAUCAGCUCGGCGGAACUCAACUACGAAAGCAUGUGCUACUCAUAACCAAUAGGAAAAUGGAGCUGCUUUUAAUCCCAUCAGUGCCAAACUAAUCAAACAGUUUUCCCGCCCUGCAGGACAGUCAAUGAGGGUGCAGAGGGUGCCUGGAAGAGACCGGGAGACAAGAGAUGCGAAGAAGGAUGCCAAGACAAGAGUCUGAUCAAGUGAACUCCUGAAGUCACCAUCUGCAACCUCUCGGUGGCAAUAUGAAGGAGCAGGGUGGGCUGAGCCCUCAGAGUGUUUAUAGCAUUAAUUAGAAACUGGAAGUAGGCGGCAGCACAGGGAGGAGGAGCAAGGCAAGUUCCCAGGACCAGACAUGAAGAGCACCUACCUAACAUUCACUGUGUUAUAUAAACAAAUACAUUUGCAUUGUACUCAGCCACAGAGGCUUAUGAAUUAUUAUAGUACCUGGCUUAUAUUAUAUUAUAUUAUUAUUAUAUUUUAUUUAUCAUAUUAUAUUGCCCUAACAGGCACAUAACAUUAUUAGGUUUCCCUGAGUAGUCUCAGAAGGGCAUUUUGUCAUCUGUGUACUCUAGGCUUUCGCUGUCUACUGAAAUUUCUGCAUGCACGCAUGUCUGCAUGCAUGUGUGAUACUGUUUAGGCCAGUAUUAUCUUCUUUCUUCCUUCUCUUUGUUGACAUGCUUGUUUAGUCUUAUUCAGGGUUUCUGAGAAAGUUUUCUUGCCCCCGACACAUGUAGGUUCCCAUGCCACAGUGUCCAGCGCCCAUGUCACUGCAUCAUAGCAUUUUGGCCUAUAAUGAACACUAGAGACUUGAAGUGUUUGUCCCAGGGUUUCUCCUGUCUUGUGUUAUGGCUGACACAUGGUAAGAGGUUCUUCGUUUGACGAUAUAUGAAUUCUAAGAAUUAUAGGCAUGCUGUAUUAAAAUGAGGUUGAAGUGAUACAGACCAGAUCCUUACCAAAAAAAAAAAAAAAUCUUAUAACAUUUCAUUCUGACAAAGAGGAUCCCACUCACAGCCAUAUGUUUUGAUUUCCUUUUUUUGUACUUUAGCUAUUAAAGACUUACAGCUUGAUUAAAAAUAAUCUCUUGCCACCACUGGCCUUAAGGAUCACAUCUCAAAAACAACCACCCCAAGCCACAUAUACCCUGUAUCUAGUUUUUCUAGAGGUGAUGAUCUUUUCCAUCCACAAUUAAUUAUUCUUACAAAUAAUAUUUGCAUAUGAUCUCACUCUUUAUAUUUGGGAUGUAUUAAUGUUUUAAUCGGCUAUAAGCAAUGAGAACGAGAUUUAUCUAGUCUGCUGAGGAAGUGCUAACAUGAUUUUUAAAAACAACUAAGAACACUAAUUUUGCUGUCAAUUUUAUAACCUUAUAAUUACCUCGUAAAUAGGCAGCAUUUUCUCAUGGUAAUCACAGGAGUUUUCAAAUGUCUUAAAAAGAAGAAAAGCAUUUAAGAUAAUCUUUUUUAGAUUGGAAUGAAAUUAUUUAUUUUGACAUUUGUUGACUGUAGUUAUGGACCAUGUUCUUCCCAAUUCUGGAAAAGACAACCUGGAAAGUUCGAUGUUCAGAACACCGAAUUCUAACAACUUUAAAAGCAACUCGAGCAAAGCCAAUUUGUGGACUCAGUUGAGAUCAUCUUAAUUUAUCCUUUUGCAAAGGUGCUUGGCAGUGUCACUGACUAGGGUACUGGCACAUUUAUAUUGUGCCAAUCACUCCAUAGAGGCGCCUGAAGAGUCACUGGGCAAGAACCAAAGACCUGAGACAUAACUCCCUUCUCUAGCCCCUGCUAUGAGAAAUAGCCAAAACCAGGAGGGGAUACGGGGUAACACUGUCAGGCAGUCGUCCUAUAAGGAGGACAGAAGAGUUUAAGAAAUAGGUUGAAACCCAUGUGACAGUUUAGAAGGACGUGAAAAAUAAUGUUCAUAUAAUUUAUUUUUGGUUGUGAGCCUAACCUUUAACGGCUGAGCCAUCUCUCCAGCCCAGUCAUCUCUUUAGCCCUAUAAUUUAUGAGAUAGAGGUUCCAGAUGCUAACUAUAGAUGAAGAGAAUGAGAAUCUAUAAAACUUCCAAGCUGGGUCAGGAAGAACCAUAUAACCUGAAGAAUAAAAAAGAGUUUUAGAGAUGGGUUAUUUCAGUUCAAACCCCUCGUCUUAAAGAGGAGGAAUGAACCUUACAAAGGGCAAACCAGCAGAUGUGGAUUGCACAGAGGCAGUGAGAAUAGUGACUGUGGGUUCCUGAGGUGGAGAUGGGGAAGAACACCGAGAACAGCAAAAAGUGGGUCACUUUUCAUUUUGAUUCAGAACCACGAAUCCUUUAAAAGUGUAUGUAGACCAUUAAAAAAAAUAGUUUCAUCACCUGCAGAGCUGAACUCAAUUCUGGGGUUGGGACCUAGGCUAGGCCAGACAAAAUGCUCCUCUUAAAAUACCUUUGUGCAUGGAUAACCUUCCUAAGAUUAGGUUCGUAUUUGCUUUUAAGCUUCUUUUGUACCAGUUUUAAUUGUUUGGGGGUAUGAGUGCUUUAAGAGUUACAAAGGGUUUGUAAAAUUGGCCUCUUGGAAUUUUUUAAAAUUUAUUUACUUUUAUUGAAAAUAAAUUUAUUUUUUCAUAAAGUAUAGUUUCCCUUCAUCUUGGGUCCUGAUAUUUUUGGUUCACUCUUAGACACCCAUGUGUUAUAUAACUCAAUUUUAAUAUCCCUUCUAAGGUAUUCAAUCUAUUCACUUGCUCUGAUGUGCUUGCUUCAAUAUAAUCUUUACAAUGUUGUUUCAGAUAUCAUAAAUCACAUAACACAUUGAGACUUUAGCUUUACAUUUUCACAUACACACAUACAUACACAUGAGUGUGCACAAACACACACACACAGAAAGAGAGAGAGAAAGAGAGAGAGACAGAGAGAAAGAGAGAAAGAGAGAGAGAACUCUCAUAUAUACAUAGUUAUAAGCUACAGAAGUAUAUCCUUUAAGUAGUUAGGCACGAGACAUUUGAAGAUUAGGAGUCAUAAAUAUGCAAAAGCCAACUUAGUAAGAUGUACAAAGAGAUCAGAGGUAGUGUAAGAAACCAGGAGCUACAAGAACAUGUCCCUCUACAUAGAAACCAGAAGGCCUAACAUCCAAAAAAAAAAAAAAAAAGAACAAAAGGCUAUUAUUUUUAAACUCUGGUAAAUACAUUCAAUCAUGAAAGAUAGGACUGAAGCACAGUGGGUGAGAUUUUCAAAAUUUUUAUUUCCUACUGUCCAUCCCCUCCAUUCUUGGUUCAAAAAAAAAAGUAAAGUAACAUCACAUAUAAUUGAGGAAAAUAAGACACAAAAAUAUUUGAGAGGAAUGGCUAGGCAGUCAGAUACUUGGGAAGGAAGAACUGUGAAAAGUUUAAAGUUUCUAGAUGUCUAGAUGGCCGUACCUAUGCACAGGGCAUAUAUGAACAGAAAUGACCAGCAAAGACUCUAACGCUCCCCUUCAGUUGAUCUCAGACUGGGCAAACAGAAUCUAAAGGCAAAGGCCGAGCUGUGGUCCAGAGCAGCCAGUGUAGUGCCAGCCCCAAUGCCCAGAGAGCCCAGCUACAAAUGCCAGGAGAAUUUGUGUCAUCUCCCACAUUCAUGCAACAACUUCCAUGAGAUCACUACCUGAUCAGCACAUGAGUGGAAGAGAUUCCAGGAGCCAUACUUGACAAAUAACAACUGCUCAGAGAAUAGUUCUGAAAGGUCAAUAAAUCAGGUACAGCCCCACAUGAACACCAAUGGUAAAAGCCUACCAUAGCAUGUGGGUGUGCCAUGUAGGUAUAAUAAAUGAAGUUAAACUUUAAAGAUGUCAUUUUUUAAAAGAGAUUUAU